AUGACGGGUUUGGGUCCAAAAAUCAUUGGUUUGGGCCCCAAAAUGGUUGGAUUAGGCUCCAAAAUUGGGGGAUUUGGGCCCAAAAUGGAGGAGCCAAAAACCCUCCAAAAAUCACCAAUUUCCCCCCCAAAAAAACCUCUGGUCUCCAUCCACCCACCUUCCGGCGAGGACUUCCUAGGCCCCUACCUCAACUCCAGCAUCCUCUGCCACAUCCGGGUGCCCAAGGCCACGCCCAACACCGUCGUCCAAUGGCUGAAGAACGGGAAGGUCCUCCAGGAGGGCGUGACCAACGAGGUCCUGGUGACCCCUCAAGGCCAAGGCCCCAAAGUCAUUGACAGUCGCCUCAGUGUCACCAAGGACGAGUGGGACGCUGGGAACGUCUACACGUGUCGGGUGGAGGAGGAGAUGAGGAACACCAGCAAGGCCCUGGAGUGCGGGUUCGUCCCCGGCAGCGGAGAGGACAUCAAGGUGCAAGUCAUCCCUCCGGCCUUCAUCGACAUCUUCCAAGACAAGGUGGCCAAGUUGACCUGCCUGGUGUCCAACCUGCCCAGCUCGGAAGGCUUGGAGAUCUCCUGGUGGACGGAAGGUGGGGAGAAACUGCCCACCAAGACCUCCUCCCAAACCCUCCAACCCAACGGGCUCUACAGGGUGGAGGGCGUGGCCAGCGUCUGCGCCGACCAAUGGGACAAGGGGGAGGUCUUCACUUGCAAGGUGACCCACCCUGAGCUGCUCUUCCCCACCGAGGCCACGUUGCAGAAGACCAAGGGUCGUGACGUCAAAGCCCCUUCCAUCUACGUCUUCCCCCCUCCCGCCGAGCAAUUGGCCGCGCACGAAACCGCCACCGUCACCUGCUUGGCCAAAGGCUUCAACCCCCCCGACAUCUUCUUCCGGUGGCUCCGCAACGGCGCCGUCAUCCCGGAAGCCGAUUACGUCACCACGCCGGCCAUGUUGGAAGCUCAACGCGCCACUUCCUACGUCGCUUACAGCUCCUUGAGCAUCGGGGGCGACGAUUGGGCGGCCGGGAACGUUUACACUUGUUUGGUGGGGCACGAGGAGCUUCCCAUGCAGGUGACGCAGAAAUCGGUCGACAAAGCUUCCGGUAAACCCGCCAACGUCAACGUCUCCCUCGUCCUCUCCGACUUGGCCAACACUUGUUAUUAA